rnacentral:rRNA from 1 species
CCUACGGGUGGCAGCAGUGAGGAAUAUUGGUCAAUGGGCGAGAGCCUGAACCAGCCAAGUCGCGUGAGGGAGUACUGCCCUAUGGGUUGUAAACCUCUUUUGUCGGGGAGCAAAAGCCGGACGGGUCCGGCUGUGAGAGUAUCCGAAGAAAAAGCAUCGGCUAACUCCGCGCCAGCAGCCGCGGUAAUACGGAGGAUGCGAGCGUUAUCCGGAUUUAUUGGGUUUAAAGGGUGCGCAGGCGGAUUGUUAAGUCAGCGGUAAAAUCGUGGGGCUCAACCCCCUCCAGCCGUUGAAACUGGGGAUCUAGAGUGUGCGAGAGGUAUGCGGAAUGCGUGGUGUAGCGGUGAAAUGCAUAGAUAUCACGCAGAACCCCGAUUGCGAAGGCAGCAUACCGGUGCACAACUGACGCUCAGGCACGAAAGCGUGGGUAUCGAACAGGAUUAGAUACCCGUGUAGUC